UACGUAGGGGGCGAGCGUUGUCCGGAAUUAUUGGGCGUAAAGAGCUCGUAGGCGGCUUGGCAAGUCGGAUGUGAAAACUCCAGGCUCAACCUGGAGCCGCCAUUCGAUACUGCUAUGGCUAGAGUCCGGUAGGGGAGUGUGGAAUUCCCGGUGUAGCGGUGAAGUGCGCAGAUAUCGGGAGGAACACCGAUGGCGAAGGCAGCACUCUGGGCCGGCACUGACGCUGUGGAGCGAAAGCGUGGGGAGCGAACAGG
rnacentral:rRNA from 1 species